GACGUAGGGCGCGAGCGUUGUCCGGAUUUAUUGGGCGUAAAGCGCACGUAGGCGGCAUUGCAAGUCGGAUGUGAAAUCCCUCGGCUUAACCAAGGAAGUGCAUCCGAAACUGCAGUGCUUGAGUACUUAAGAGGAUCGCGGAAUUCCCGGUGUAGAGGUGAAAUUCGUAGAUAUCGGGAGGAACACCAGUGGCGAAGGCGGCGAUCUGGGAAGAUACUGACGCUGAGGUGCGAAAGCGUGGGGAGCAAAGCAGG
rnacentral:rRNA from 1 species